AGCAUAUCAAUUAAGCGGAGGAAAAGAAACCAACAGGGAUUGCCUCAGUAACGGCGAGUGAAGCGGCAAGAGCUCAAAUUUGAAAGCUGGCUCCUUCGGGGUCCGCAUUGUAAUUUGCAGAGGAUGUUUCGGGAGCAGCCCCCAUCUAAGUGUCCUGGAACGGACCGUCAUAGAGGGUGAGAAUCCCGUAUGGGAUGGGGUGUCUGCGCCCAUGUGAAACUCCUUCGACGAGUCGAGUUGUUUGGGAAUGCAGCUCUAAAUGGGUGGUAAAUUUCAUCUAAAGCUAAAUAUUGGCCGGAGACCGAUAGCGCACAAGUAGAGUGAUCGAAAGAUGAAAAGCACUUUGAAAAGAGAGUUAAAAAGCACGUGAAAUUGUUGAAAGGGAAGCGCUUGCGAUCAGACUCGCCUUGGGGGUUCAGCCGGCAUUCGUGCCGGUGUACUUCCCCCAGGGCGGGCCAGCGUCGGUUUGGGUGGCCGGUCAAAGGCCCUUGGAAUGUAACGCCUCUCGGGGCGUCUUAUAGCCAAGGGUGCCAUGCGGCCUACCUGGACCGAGGAACGCGCUUCGGCUCGGACGCUGGCAUAAUGGUCGUAAGCGACCCGUCUUGAAACACGGACCAAGGAGUCUAACAUCUACGCGAGUGUUCGGGUGUCAAACCCGUGCGCGCAGUGAAAGCGAACGGAGGUGGGAACCCUUUGGGUGCACCAUCGACCGAUCCUGAUGUCUUCGGAUGGAUUUGAGUAAGAGCGUAGCUGUUGGGACCCGAAAGAUGGUGAACUAUGCCUGAAUAGGGCGAAGCCAGAGGAAACUCUGGUGGAGGCUCGCAGCGGUUCUGACGUGCAAAUCGAUCGUCGAAUUUGGGUAUAGGGCGAAAGACUAAUCGA
rnacentral:rRNA from 1 species